ensembl:lncRNA
AUUUACAUAUCCAGUCCUGUUUAUUUCAUGUUUACUCCUACAUUCAUAUUAUUCAUGUUUACUUCUACAUUCAUGUUAUUCAUGUUUACUCCUACAUUCAUGUUUAUUCAUAUUUACUCCUACAUUCAUGUUUAUUCAUGUUUACUUCUACAUUCAUGUUUAUUCAUGUUUACUCCUACAUUCAUGUUUAUUCAUGUUUACUCCUACAUUCAUGUUUAUUCAUGUUUACUUCUACAGUCCUGUUUAUUCAUGUUUACUCCUACAUUCAUGUUUACUUUUACAUUCCUAUUUAUUCAUGUUUACUCCUGCAUUCAUGUUUAUUCAUAUUUACUCCUACAUUCAUGUUUAUUCAUGUUUACUCCUACAUUCAUAUUUAUUCAUGUUUACUUCUACAUUCAUGUUUA